CCUACGGGAGGCAGCAGUGGGGAAUUUUGGACAAUGGGCGCAAGCCUGAUCCAGCCAUGCCGCGUGAGUGAAGAAGGCCUUCGGGUUGUAAAGCUCUUUCAGUCGGGAAGAAAAGGUUGCGACUUCAUAAUCGCGAUUCAUGACGGUACCGGAAGAAG
rnacentral:rRNA from 1 species